UCCAAUUUGGAGAUGAUUCUGUCGAAAGCAGCGUUGUUGCGAGCGUGCAUUUUCUCCCAUCGAUCCCAUCGAUCUUUUUCGGCGAUGUUCUUCACAUACUCUGCCAUGGUGAGAAUGAAAGCACCAAUGUAAUGAUACUAAAAUUGAAUAGGAAAUAAAGCUAAGAUAGGAAUCAUUCUUGUUGAACUUAGAUUAAAUAGUUGCAAUACAAAAGGAAUUUGAUAUGUGAAAAGAGAGUUUGGGAGAGAAGAAUAACAACUUCACCAAUCAUAUAAAAAUGAGAAAUAACUCCUAGUUCACUAUAUAUACUAUCCAUGUGUGAUAAAAUCCCUUAGUGUGAUAAUUCGCAUCAAGCUUAACAGAAUGACCUUCAUUUGCCUCUUGUGAGACCCUCCACUCCUCAUUUGCUGACUCAUCAGUUUCUAGACCCUUCCCUUUAUUUUGUCUCAUUACA
rnacentral:lncRNA from 1 species